rnacentral:rRNA from 1 species
AAUGAACGUUGGCGGCGUGGAUCAGGCAUGCAAGUCGAGCGCUCAUCAGCAAUGGUGGGAGCGGCGAACGGCGUAGUAAUGUGUAGGAACGUACCCUCUGGUCGGGGAUAGCUACGGGAAACUGUAGGUAAUACCCGAUGAUCUCUGUGGAGCAAAGGUGUGAUUCCGCCGGGGGAGCGGCUUACAUGAUAUUAGCUAGUUGGUGGGGUAAUGGCCUACCAAGGCUUAGAUGUCUAGGGGGUGUGAGAGCAUGGCCCCCACGACCGGAACUGAGAUACUGUCCGGACACCUACGGGUGGCUGCAGUCGAGAAUCUUCCGCAAUGGACGAAAGUCUGACGGAGCGACGCCGCGUGCGGGAUGAAGGCCCUUGGGUUGUAAACCGCUGUCAGAGGGGAUGAAAUCUCCGAGGGUUAUCCCUCGGAGUUGACAGAGCCUCAGAGGAAGCACGGGCUAAGUAUGUG